rnacentral:rRNA from 1 species
UACGGGGGGGGCAAGCGUUGUUCGGAAUUACUGGGCGUAAAGGGCUCGUAGGUGGCCAACUAAGUCAGACGUGAAAUCCCUCGGCUUAACCGGGGAACUGCGUCUGAUACUGGAUGGCUUGAGUUUGGGAGAGGGACGCGGAAUUCCAGGUGUAGCGGUGAAAUGCGUAGAUAUCUGGAGGAACACCGGUGGCGAAGGCGGCGUCCUGGAUCAACACUGACACUGAGGAGCGAAAGCCAGGGGAGCAAACGGG